UCUCUCUCUCCCUCAAUUUUUCAUCCAAAGACAUGAACAGGGUAUCCAUCUCCCUCACUCUACACGUCUAUACUCCCUUAACCAACACAUGUAUAUGUAUAUCAAGGAAAAGGAGUAAAUAAUACUCCUAUAUACUCCCAGCCAUAGCCACACGUCUUCUUCAUCAAUCCAAAACAACUCUCUCUCUCUAUAGUUAUCAAAAUUCACUUCUCUCAGUCAUCUUCUACAAUUCACAAAAUCGGAAAAUCCCAACUUCUAUCUCUUAUUCAUCUCUUCCUUAUCCAAGUUCUCGCUCGCCGCCGCUUCUGCAAUUCCCCGGCGUCCGUCGGCAUCAGCGUCUCCGUCGUCGCCGAGCUCCAUUCACAACUGAAAUCACGAUCCCACUUGGUAUCGAAAUACAGUUGAGGAACCAGUCAGAAGAUUUGUGGUCAAGUAUUGAAGAUCGUCACGUAGAGAAGUAGCAAGCCAUCUUCGAUUCUUUGGAGAAUCAAGAAGGAGAUUGAUAGGUCGCCUUGUCUAUCUUUGUAUCACACGCCCUGACAUCACCUUUGUUGUGAACAAGCUCAGUCAGUACCUAUCAAAGCUAUGCGCAGAUCACAUGCUUGCUGGUGAAGGUGUUCGCAGAUAUUUGAAGGGCACAAUGGGCCAUGAUCUUUUUUAUUCAGCUCGGGGCAGAUCCCUCAUUGAGCAUUCUCUUAUGCUGAUUGGGCCGGUUUUCCGGACAUUAGAAGAUCUAUCUUCGGAUUCUGCUUGUUCCUCGGCACAUCCCUGAUCUCAUGGAGAUCAAAGAAGCAACACACUAUGUCAAGAUCCUCAGCCGAGGCUGAAUAUAGAGCAAUGGCUCUUGCUUGCUGUGAAGUUGUGUGGAUUAUAGCUUUACUCAAGGAUUUUGGUUUAGAAGUAAAGAAGUCGGUGCCUCUUUAUUGUGAUAGCCAAGCGGCCGUGCACAUUAGCACAAACCCUGUGUUUCAUGAGCGCAUGAAGCAUAUUGAAAUUGAUUGUCACACCGUGCGUGAAAAGAUAAUUGAAGGAGUGAUCAAAACCGUCCAUGUUCACAACAAUCUACAGCUAGCUGACAUUUUCACUAAGCCUUUGGUUGUUGCUCCCUUUUACACUCUAUUGUUCAAGAUAAAUUUCAAGAGUGUCUAUACUCCAUCUUGAGGGGGCCGAUUAGAAUAGUUCACACAACUAGCUCGAGAUGAUGGAAGAAGAUCGAGCUCAAGUGUGAAGAUAAAGAAGUGCCAGCGGUUUUGGUAGUUAUUCAGUUGAGUAGUUAAUUAGUUAUAGAGCUUUCAU